GAUGAAGAACGCAGCGAAUUGCGAUAAGUAAUGUGAAUUGCAGAAUUCAGUGAAUCAUCGAAUCUUUGAACGCAGCUUGCGCUCUCUGGUAUUCCGGAGAGCAUGCCUGUUUCAGUGUCAUGAAAUCUCAACCACUAGGGUUUCCUAAUGGAUUGGAUUUGGGCGUCUGCGAUCUCUGAUCGCUCGCCUUAAAAGAGUUAGCAAGUUUGACAUUAAUGUCUGGUGUAAUAAGUUUCACUGGGUCCAUUGUGUUGAAGCGUGCUUCUAAUCGUCCGCAAGGACAAUUACUUUGACUCUGGCCUGAAAUCAGGUAGGACUACCCGCUGAACUUAAGCAUAUCAAUAAGCGGAGGA
rnacentral:misc_RNA from 1 species